GUGGGGAAUCUUGCGCAAUGGGCGAAAGCCUGACGCAGCCAUGCGGCGUGAAUGAUGAAGGUCUUAGGAUUGUAAAAUUCUUUCACCGGGGACGAUAAUGACGGUACCCGGAGAAGAAGCUCCGGCUAACUUCGUGCCAGCAGCCGCGGUAAUACGAAGGGGGCUAGCGUUGCUCGGAAUUACUGGGCGUAAAGGGCGCGUAGGCGGACAGCUUAGUCAGAGGUGAAAGCCCAGGGCUCAACCUUGGAAUUGCCUUUGAUACUGGCUGUCUUGAGUUUGGGAGAGGUGAGUGGAACUCCGAGUGUAGAGGUGAAAUUCGUAGAUAUUCGGAGGAACACCAGUGGCGAAGGCGGCUCACUGGACCGUUGUUGACGCUGAGGUGCGAAAGCGUGGGGAGCAAACAGGAUUAGAUACCCGUGUAGUCC
rnacentral:rRNA from 1 species